rnacentral:rRNA from 1 species
UACGUAGGGUGCGAGCGUUGUCCGGAAUUAUUGGGCGUAAAGGGCUCGUAGGCGGCUUGUCGCGUCGUUCGUGAAAACCUGCAGCUCAACUGCAGGCUUGCGGUCGAUACGGGCAGGCUAGAGUUCGGUAGGGGAGACUGGAAUUCCAGGUGUGAGCGGUGAAAUACGUAGAUAUCUGGAGGAACACCGGUGGCGAAGGCGGCAUCCUGGGACCGGUAUUGACGCUGAGGCGCGAAAAGCCAGGGGGAGCAAACGGGG